AUUGAACGCUGGCGGCAUGCCUUACACAUGCAAGUCGAACGGCAGCACGGGGCAACCUGGUGGCGAGUGGCGAACGGGUGAGUAAUGCAUCGGAACGUACCUUUCAGUGGGGGAUAACGUAGCGAAAGUUACGCUAAUACCGCAUCUUCUGUGAGCAGGAAAGCAGGGGAUCGGAAGCCCUUGCGCUGAUUGAGCGGUCGAUGUCGGAUUAGCUAGUUGGUGAGGUAAAGGCUCACCAAGGUGACGAUCUGUAGCGGGUCUGGGAGGAUGAUCCGCCACACUGGAAAUGAGACACGGUCCAGACUCCGACGGGAGGCAGCAGUGGGGAAUUUUGGACAAUGGGGGCAACCCUGAUCCAGCCAUGCCGCGUGAGUGAAGAAGGCCUUCGGGUUGUAAAGCUCGUUCGGCCGGGAAGAAAUCGCACGGGCUAAUACCCUGUGUGGAUGACGGUACCGGAAUAAGAAGCACCGGCUAACUACGUGCCAGCAGCCGCCGUAAUAC
rnacentral:rRNA from 1 species